rnacentral:lncRNA from 1 species
UGUUGAGUCCUAAUUUCACACAGGACAAGAGCAGGAAGAAGGCAGCCCAAGGAUAACAAAAUGUCAGAGCUGACAGACCAGAGAUACCUGUCACACUUCUUGGAUUAACGUUUCCAGCUCAGCGGAUGGUACCACAGCUUUCCAGAACAAGGCAAAAAGUGAGGAGACCUCCCUUCCUGUAUGAGCUCCCACUUCCCAACAACCUGACAGUCCUUACAGGACCUUCUAGGACCAGAUCCUUCUCACCAAGGCUCACACCUUGGUCUCCACUACAUCUGAAGAGGUUACAAGGAAUUCUGGGUAAGUGCCAUCACCCUGCAGCUUUGUAGACUGUCCUCUACCUCAUUCCCCAACAACCAUGGCGAUGUACAAAGACAUUAAUUACAUACCAAAGAGAGGAGGAUGGGCACUUCUCUUCAGUUAGAAUGUUCUGUACACAACCCAGAGCUACUACAGGGCAGAGAGAGCAAUGGGUAGAAGUCAGUCCUUCAAGAGCCAAGCAAUGUGGUCCCAGCUGGACCCCUGGAGAAGGAAGGAUAUCAGUGCUACAGAGACAGUGUCCAGUAGAGAAUCCGGGAAGAGACUUGCAUGGGGCCCUCUACACUGCAGUCCAAGUGGUAAGGAUGCUUAGGAGAAAUGACUGGUGCCGGAGCUGAGGCAAAAUAUACCAGACAAGCCCCGGCCCUCACAGUGUCGAAAAGCAAGAAAGACCCUAAAAAAGAAAAGAGCUGGAUGGCGGUGGCACUGCGCAUAUUACCAUCCUUGGCCUAGGAGCCCACCAAAGGACAUAUGUGGACCAGCAUUUGCUUUCAGACUUGCUCCUGCUGGCCUCCUGCCACUGCCUGAUGUCAGCGCUGCAAUGCUCUGUCAAUAGGGCAAGCCAUGGCAGGGCAAGUCCCCUUCAGAAGGAGGCUAGAGAAGCAGAGUGGUCAGACGUCUGAGAAGAGCCGGUGUCGUGAACCUUUUCUGCCCUGCCUUCUAGGAAUCCUAGCCACCUUCUGGUGCAGCUUGCCCCAGACAUCCAGACAUGGAGAGCCUUUGGUCUGAACCGCUCUCCACCUCAGACAACAGGCCUUCUGGGCAACACAAGGCGCUCUGUAUAGCCCCAUUGGGAAGUCAGUGGCUUUUGCACCUUUGUGAGUUGAAUCCUGCCUGGGAAGACAAGAACACAGACUGAGCAACCCCAACCUGGAUAUCUGACAUUGGAUUGGUUACAGCUAGAAGGUGAUAUCUCAGCAAAGACCUAAAGAAGCUGGGAGCAAGCCAUGCGAGCCUCUGACAGGAGAGAAAGGAGGCUGAGAACCAGCGAGGGCCAACCGCAUGAGGCUGGAAGAGGAGCAUCACGUUGGAAGUGGAACAGAGACUGUUCUGUGGGGAUAGAGGACAGGUCAGAAAUGUCAGGAG